GAGGAAAUGUUUAUUUGGG
rnacentral:misc_RNA from 1 species